AGCGAACGCUGGCGGCAGGCUUAACACAUGCAAGUCGAGCGGGCACUUCGGUGUCAGCGGCAGACGGGUGAGUAACACGUGGGAACGUACCCUUUGGUUCGGAAUAACGCUGGGAAACUAGCGCUAAUACCGGAUACGCCCUUUUGGGGAAAGGCUUGCUGCCGAAGGAUCGGCCCGCGUCUGAUUAGCUAGUUGGAGGGGUAAUGGCCUACCAAGGCGACGAUCAGUAGCUGGUCUGAGAGGAUGAUCAGCCACACUGGGACUGAGACACGGCCCAGACUCCUACGGGAGGCAGCAGUGGGGAAUAUUGGACAAUGGGCGCAAGCCUGAUCCAGCCAUGCCGCGUGAGUGAUGAAGGCCUUAGGGUUGUAAAGCUCUUUUGUCCGGGACGAUAAUGACGGUACCGGAAGAAUAAGCCCCGGCUAACUUCGUG
rnacentral:rRNA from 1 species